GUAGCUCAGUGGCAGAGCACCUGCCUUGCAUGAGGAAGGUUCCAGGUUCAAUCCCUGCCAUCACCA